rnacentral:lncRNA from 1 species
UUAAACCAUCUACUAAUAAAACACUUUCAAUAAGGGAGGAUGUACCAUUACCUAUGUUACCUUGACCAAUGAUUCUUCCUUUUGCAUUGUCUCCAAAUGUGACAUAUCCUCCUUUUCUCUUUGUAAGGAAGGCAAACUUGGAUUUAUCCCCGGUCAUGUGUCUUGAGCACCCACUAUCCAAGAACCAUUUAUCCUCCUUUGAGCCCUC